rnacentral:lncRNA from 1 species
CUCUUACUUUGCUUCUGUGUCUAAGAAGUAAUCAUCAUAAUCAUUCUGUAGAGCACUUUGCAACAGUCAUGAUGACGGCUCCCUGUAUGGAGGACAGUAUUAACUAUGUGCUAGGUGCUGCUCUGAGUGCUUUACAUGUAACUCAUUUUAAUAUCAACAACCCUGGGGGCCAGUGCAGUGGCAUAGUGGUUACGUUCAUGCACUCCACUUUGCUGGCCCGGGGUUUGUGGGUUCAGAUCCCAGGCGUGGACCCACACACCAUUCAUCAAGCCAUACUGUGGGAGUGCCCAACAUACAAAAUUGAGGAAGGGUGGCACAGAUGUUAGCUCAGCAACGGUCUUCCUCAAGCAAAAAGAGGAGGCUUGGCAACAGAUAUUAGCUCAGAGCUAAUCUUCCUUACCAAAAAAAAAAGUAUAUAUAUAUAUAUAUCUCAACAAGCCUGUGACAAAAGUCCUAGUGUCAUUCCUAUUUUGUCGAUGAAGAAACCAAGGCAACAGAGAAGUUAAGGGACUUGCCCAAGGUCACAUGGGAAGUGCAGAGCAGGGCUGGGACUUAAAUUCAGGCAAUUUGGCUCCAGAGCCUCUUCUUCACUAAUGUAUAAUGCUGGUUGAACAAGCUACUUUCACUUAUCUUAGUUGAGCUUGACAGCAAACCUGUGAGCAAGGUAACACACAUAUUAUUAUUUUUCCUAUUUAUAGAUGGGAAACUAAAGCUCAGAAACUGCCUGAGCACAAAACACGUGCUUUCAAUGGCAAAGCUAAAACAAUUACUGGAGAUUUCUAACCAGAUCCUAAACCCAGGGGCAUUCUUCAAAGGGCUGUCUGUCGCUCCUCUUCGUCUCCCCUGAAGGUGACUGGAGGAGCCUCACUAGGAGACCUGUUGUCCAACUUCCCUCGUUUCUCACCCACCCCAGGAGUCAGAGGAUUCGCUCAGGAGAAGGCCGAGCAAAUCUUCAUGAUGCCAGACCAAGCCUGAAAAACAAAACAAGCGGCCUCACUGGUGAUCACUGUAUGAAAAGGUUGGAAGCUGAAGAGAUACAUGCCGUAACUCAGCCCCCAAAAAAGAGAGACACUUAAAGUUGUUUCUAGAUACUGGAUCCCACAGCCUGCCUUCUUGUCUAUGGGUAAUUUGCAAUGUUCCUUCUAGUGCUGUCUUCCUUAUUUCCCAGGAAAUAGUUCAAUAAACUCAGUCACCUUGAAUGAUAAAAUUUUAGAGUUGGGAGGAGGUUUAUCAUACUACAGUGAAAGAAACUGAGGCUGGGGGAGGUUAAUCUAUGGCCUGAUAUCACACAGCAGAAGAACGCAGCAUUCCUUUCCCUAUCCCGUGUUGCCCCAGAGAGGACCUCACCUUUGCUUAAAAAUGUUUUCUCGCUAGCCCAGAAAUCUCUGCCAGUAAUCACUUUGGGGUAAUUCACAGCAUCAGAAGUCACUCUUGAUGCACAGAUACGGGCUGGGAAGAGCAGCGCUGGGAGCAACUGCGGGCCAUUGACACCAGCACGCCAGGGCUAUCCCCUCCCCUGCAGGGAGAGCAGCAGUGGUUCUCAAAAGCUGCAGGGUCCCCCUAGCAGGCCCUCAGGGAAAAUGAGAGGCAGGGGUUCUCGACACAGCUUUAAUAUCUCAAGAAUAAAUUGUGUAUUUACUUGAAGUAAUGCUACAAAUGUUAUUGAUUAAAAGAUUUUGUUUAGGAGACAAAAUAUUCUGAAUAUAAGAGGGAUGGAGGGGCAACUAAAAGUGGUCAUUUGUAUUUAAAAGGCUGAGAACUACUGACAGAAUAUUUACACCCCAAGUUAUUUCCUGAAGUGGGAUUUUGGGUCAGCCCUGAUUAAGGUAUUUGGGUAGUGGGGGAGGAAA